rnacentral:rRNA from 1 species
AGAGUUUGAUCCUGGCUCAGGAUGAACGCUGGCGGCGUGCCUAACACAUGCAAGUCGAGCGGGAAAUCCGUGACGGAUCCUUCGGGUGACGGAUCGGAUGGAGAGCGGCGGACGGGUGAGUAACGCGUAGGUAACCUGCCCUGUACAGAGGGAUAGCCACUGGAAACGGUGAUUAAUACCUCAUAAUGCCGGAUCUGCACAUGCAGGACCGGUCAAAGUUUUUUCGGUACAGGAUGGACCUGCGUCUGAUUAGCUUGUUGGUGGGGUAACGGCUCACCAAGGCGACGAUCGGUAGCCGGACUGAGAGGUUGAACGGCCACAUUGGGACUGAGACACGGCCCAGACUCCUACGGGAGGCAGCAGUGGGGAAUAUUGCACAAUGGGGGAAACCCUGAUGCAGCGACGCCGCGUGGAGGAAGAAGGUCUUCGGAUUGUAAACUCCUGUUGUUGAGGAAGAUAAUGACGGUACUCAACAAGGAAGUGACGGCUAACUACGUGCCAGCAGCCGCGGUAAAACGUAGGUCACAAGCGUUGUCCGGAAUUACUGGGUGUAAAGGGAGCGCAGGCGGGAAGGCAAGUUGGAAGUGAAAUCCAUGGGCUCAACCCAUGAACUGCUUUCAAAACUGUUUUUCUUGAGUAGUGCAGAGGUAGGCGGAAUUCCCGGUGUAGCGGUGGAAUGCGUAGAUAUCGGGAGGAACACCAGUGGCGAAGGCGGCCUACUGGGCACCAACUGACGCUGAGGCUCGAAAGUGUGGGUAGCAAACAGGAUUAGAUACCCUGGUAGUCCACACUGUAAACGAUGAUUACUAGGUGUUGGAGGAUUGACCCCUUCAGUGCCGCAGUUAACACAAUAAGUAAUCCACCUGGGGAGUACGACCGCAAGGUUGAAACUAAAAGGAAUUGACGGGGGCCCGCACAAGCAGUGGAGUAUGUGGUUUAAUUCGACGCAACGCGAAGAACCUUACCAAGUCUUGACAUCCUGCGACGGUGCUGGAAACAGUACUUUCCUUCGGGACGCAGAGACAGGUGGUGCAUGGUUGUCGUCAGCUCGUGUCGUGAGAUGUUGGGUUAAGUCCCGCAACGAGCGCAACCCUUAUGGUCAGUUACUACGCAAGAGGACUCUGGCCAGACUGCCGUUGACAAAACGGAGGAAGGUGGGGAUGACGUCAAAUCAUCAUGCCCUUUAUGACUUGGGCUACACACGUACUACAAUGGCGUUAAACAAAGAGAAGCAAGACCGCGAGGUGGAGCAAAACUCAGAAACAACGUCCCAGUUCGGACUGCAGGCUGCAACUCGCCUGCACGAAGUCGGAAUUGCUAGUAAUCGCAGAUCAGCAUGCUGCGGUGAAUACGUUCCCGGGCCUUGUACACACCGCCCGUCACACCAUGAGAGCCGGGGGGACCCGAAGUCGGUAGUCUAACCGCAAGGAGGACGCCGCCGAAGGUAAAACUGGUGAUUGGGGUGAAGUCGUAACAAGGUA